rnacentral:rRNA from 1 species
UACGUAGGGUGCGAGCGUUGUCCGGAAUUAUUGGGCGUAAAGGGCUCGUAGGCGGUCUGUCGCGUCGGGAGUGAAAACUCAGGGCUUAACCCUGAGCCUGCUUCCGAUACGGGCAGACUAGAGGUAUGCAGGGGAGAACGGAAUUCCUGGUGUAGCGGUGGAAUGCGCAGAUAUCAGGAGGAACACCGGUGGCGAAGGCGGGUCUCUGGGCCGUAACUGACGCUGAGGCGCGACAGCGUGGGGAGCAAACAGG